rnacentral:rRNA from 1 species
UACGAAGGGGGCUAGCGUUGCUCGGAAUCACUGGGCGUAAAGCGCACGUAGGCGGAUUGCUAAGUCAGGGGUGAAAUCCUGGAGCUCAACUCCAGAACUGCCUUUGAUACUGGCGAUCUCGAGUCCGGGAGAGGUGAGUGGAACUGCGAGUGUAGAGGUGAAAUUCGUAGAUAUUAGGAAGAACACCAGUGGCGAAGGCGGCUCACUGGUCCGGUACUGACGCUGAGGUGCGAAAGCGUGGGGAGCAAACAGG